GUGGGGAAUAUUGGACAAUGGGGGGAACCCUGAUCCAGCCAUGCCGCGUGUGUGAAGAAGGCCUUUUGGUUGUAAAGCACUUUAAGCGAGGAGGAGGCUACCGAGAUUAAUACUCUUGGAUAGUGGACGUUACUCGCAGAAUAAGCACCGGCUAACUCUGUGCCAGCAGCCGCGGUAAUACAGAGGGUGCAAGCGUUAAUCGGAUUUACUGGGCGUAAAGCGCGCGUAGGUGGCCAAUUAAGUCAAAUGUGAAAUCCCCGAGCUUAACUUGGGAAUUGCAGUCGAUACUGGUUGGCUAGAGUAUGGGAGAGGAUGGUAGAAUUCCAGGUGUAGCGGUGAAAUGCGUAGAGAUCUGGAGGAAUACCGAUGGCGAAGGCAGCCAUCUGGCCUAAUACUGACACUGAGGUGCGAAAGCAUGGGGAGCAAACAGGAUUAGAAACCCCGGUAGUCC
rnacentral:rRNA from 1 species